GGUCCUACGGGAGGCAGCAGUGAGGAAUAUUGGUCAAUGGCCGGAAGGCUGAACCAGCCAAGCCGCGUGAAGGACGAAGGUGCCAAGCAUUGUAAACUUCUUUUGUCAAGGGACAAAAUCAGGCUCGAGAGCCUGACCGAGGGUACUUGAAGAAAAAGCAUCGGCUAACUCCGUGCCAGCAGCCGCGGUAAUACGGAGGAUGCGAGCGUUAUCCGGAUUUAUUGGGUUUAAAGGGUGCGCAGGCGGGCUGUUAAGCCGGCGGUAAAAAUUCAGGGCUCAACCCUGUC
rnacentral:rRNA from 1 species